rnacentral:sRNA from 1 species
AGCAGGGAAAGGAGGUGGUCCAGUGAUAAAUGACAAAUGUACGGACUGUGAGGUGGCUGAGACUUAGGGUCUGAGCCUACUCGUUUGACGGGGGUUCAGGCUUAGGGCCUUGAAUUCCCCUCAGUCACCGGGGCCCGCGCUGUCUACCUGGAUGGCGCGGGCCCUUUUUUU